UUUUAAUAGAGAUAUGAGUGGACAAACCAAUGAUAGAGUUAGAGUGAAGAGAUUUAAGAAAUGAGUUGAGUUAGAGAUACUGAUUGAAUUGAGUUGAGAUUUUAUUUUAUUUCCGACUACCGGGAAUAGAAUUACCGGAUACCGAGUUAUCAGAGAUUUACUGUCCUAUUAAGAAAAUAGGAAUAAUGAGUUUGACAUAGAGUCGAGGAAGAAAGAGUGAGAACCUUGAUGAAAAGAGUCGGUCAGAGAGACGUCUAGUUUGUUUGUGUUUGCCGACUGCUUUGACGUGAUAUUAUGUGAACUUACGUGACUAAUUGAUUAUGUGAUUUUUGUUACGUAUGUCUUUAUGAGCAAAUUAUUAUAUUUUUUAUUUGAGGACUUUAGCGCUUGGAAUUUUGAUUAAGUUUUCAAAGCAAGUGCGGUUUAUUUUUACCGAGAAAUCGAAUGAUGUCGGUUUAUGGAAAUUUUUCCAAGCAUAAUAUUUUUUUAAAAUUAUUUUUCCUACGAAGAGGAAUAUUAUAAUUGAGUGAGUGCACUAAUAAUAGUGCUAUAAUUAUUAUUUUGGUCACAUGAAUAAUUAUACUAUGGUAUUUUAUUAAUGAGUGACAUUUCCAUAGUUAUUGUGAUUUUUAUUUAAUCACCCUUCUCACACUUUAUUUUAAUUUCACUACCAUAUGUUAUAUGCCUUAAAUGACUAAGUAUAGAGUUUGAGAGAGUAGAGAUUGAGAGUAUAUUAUGGAGAGUGUAGAGAUUAGAGAGAGAUUAGAGAGAGAGAGAUCAUCCAUUAAUUGCAAAUAUUCUCCAAGAUUUGGAAAUCUCCUUUAAAGAUCACAAGAUCAAAUUCAAUCUUGCAAAGCCAAACCUCUCUCUCCCUCACUACAAUUUUCGGCCAUCAUCUCUCUCCCUCACACACAUUUUCUCCCAACACACACUCAUCUUCUCCAUUUAUCAAUUCCACCAUUUUCCUCCAUUGAUGGAAACCUUCGAAGCUUCCUAAAAUAUUACCAAACACUUCAAAUCACUCUAAUAUCCUCUAUAAACCUAUUCUAUCCACUUAUAAUCAAGAAAAUCCUUGAAGAAGAAGCUCCAAAGUAGAGUGAGAAAGUGAGAAUUUUGGUGAGAACUUGGGCCCGAGCGAGACGAAGAAGUAAGUUGCCUGAUUUCUUUCCAGAAUAAGCGAAGGACUUCAGGCUAAGCGAGGAGCGAGAUUGGUCUGGUGCUAGUGGGGGAAACGUUUCAAUCGAUGUAAUUAUGUUUUCGUAUUGCCUUCAUGUUAAUAGAGUCUUGAGGAUUGAGAUACUUUGUUUUCUUUUGAAAUCAAGCAAUUUACUCACGGUUAUGUGUCUUCAUACAUGUAAUCGAUUCGCCUUUUGCUGCGAUACUCUGCAUUUUAUGAUUCCUUAUGAAAAAUGAGCUAUACCCGUUUUGUUUUUGUUCGUGAAAUUCCUGAUAAUUAAAAAGUUAUAACGACGUUGACGAUUUUA